rnacentral:rRNA from 1 species
AGAACCUGCCCUUGGGAGGGGAACAACAGCUGGAAACGGCUGUAAUACCCCAUAGGCUGAGGAGCAAAAGGAGGAAUCCGCCCAAGGAGGGGCUCGCGUCUGAUUAGUUAGUUGGUGAGGCAAUGGCUUACCAAGGCGACGAUCAGUAGCUGGUCCGAGAGGAUGAUCAGCCCCACUGGGACUGAGACACGGCCCAUACUCCUACGGGAGGCAGCAGUGGGGAAUUUUCCGCAUGGGCGAAAGCCUGACGGAACAAUGCCGCGUGAAGGCAGAGGCCCACUGGUCAUGAACUUCUUUUCUCGGAG